rnacentral:rRNA from 1 species
AUUGAACGCUGGCGGAAUGCUUCACACAUGCAAGUCGAGCGGCAGCGCGGGGCAACCUGGCGGCGAGCGGCGAACGGGUGAGUAAUACAUCGGAACGUACCCAGUUGUGGGGGAUAGCCCGGCGAAAGCCGGAUUAAUACCGCAUACGACCUGAGGGUGAAAGUGGGGGAUCGCAAGACCUCACGCAGUUGGAGCGUCCGGUGGCGGAUUAGCUAGUUGGUGGGGAAAAGGCCAACCAAGGCGACGAACCGUAGCGGGUCUGAGAGGACGACCCGCCACACGGGAACUGAGACACGGUCCAGACUCCUACGGGAGGCAGCAGUGGGGAAUUUUGGACAAUGGGGGAAACCCUGAUCCAGCCAUUCCGCGUGAGUGAAGAAGGCCUUCGGGUUGUAAAGCUCUUUCGGCAGGAACGAAACGGUGGGCUCUAACAUAGUCUGCUAAUGACGGUACCUGAAGAAGAAGCACCGGCUAACUACGUGCCAGCAGCCGCCGUAA